UACGAGGGGUGCAAGCGUUGUUCGGAAUCAUUGGGCGUAAAGCGGGUGUAGGUGGUCACAUCAGUCAGAAGUGAAAGCCCAGGGCUCAACCUUGGAAGUGCUUUUGAUACUGUGUGACUUGAGUGUAAGAGAGGUUACUAGAAUUCCUGGUGUAGUGGUGAAAUACGUAGAGAUCAGGAGGAAUAUCGGUGGCGAAGGCG
rnacentral:rRNA from 1 species